rnacentral:rRNA from 1 species
GAAUGAACGUUGGCGGCGUGGAUUAGGCAUGCAAGUCGAGCGAGAACCCGCAAGGGGGACAGCGGCAAACGGGGUAGGAACGCGUAGGUAACGUACCCUCGGGACGGGGAUAGCCACGGGAAACUGUGGGUAAUACCCGAUAACGUCGAGAGACCAAAGGUGUGAUUCCACCUGAGGAGCGGCCUGCGUAGUAUUAGCUUGUUGGUGAGGUAACGGCUCACCAAGGCGAAGAUGCUUAGGGGGUGUGAGAGCAUGGCCCCCACCACUGGGACUGAGAUACUGCCCAGACACCUACGGGUGGCUGCAGUCGAGAAUCUUCGGCAAUGGGCGAAAGCCUGACCGAGCGACGCCGCGUGUGGGAUGAAGGCCCUUGGGUUGUAAACCACUGUCAGAGGGGAUGAAAUGCAUGAGGGUACUCCCUUAUGUUUGACAUAGCCUCAGAGGAAGCACGGGCUAAGUUCGUGCCAGCAGCCGCGGUAAUACGAACUGUGCAAACGUUAUUCGGAAUCACUGGGCUUAAAGGGUGCGUAGGCGGCUUGUUAAGUAGGGUGUGAAAGCCCCCGGCUCAACCGGGGAAUUGCGCCCUAAACUGGCGAGCUGGAGUGAGAUAGGGGUGUGUGGAACUUCCGGUGGAGCGGUGAAAUGUGUUGAUAUCGGAAGGAACGCCAGUGGCGAAAGCGACACACUGGGUCUCAACUGACGCUGAGGCACGAAAGCCAG